rnacentral:rRNA from 1 species
UACGUAGGGUGCGAGCGUUGUCCGGAAUUAUUGGGCGUAAAGAGCUCGUAGGCGGCUUGUCACGUCGGGUGUGAAAGCCCGGGGCUUAACCCCGGGUCUGCAUUCGAUACGGGCUGGCUAGAGUGUGGUAGGGGAGAUCGGAAUUCCUGGUGUAGCGGUGAAAUGCGCAGAUAUCAGGAGGAACACCGAUGGCGAAGGCAGGUCUCUGGGCCGAUACUGACGCUGAGGAGCGAAAGCGUGGGGAGCGAACAGG